rnacentral:lncRNA from 12 species
UGGAGAGGCAUGGCGAACUGUGGAAGUGCUACUUACUGUUUAUCCUGCACUAAUUCAAAACAAGCCAUCCCAGCUUAAAGGAAAGGACUGCUCAUCACUGGAAGUUCACCUUGAUGUAUCAGUCCUGAUUUACUGCACGUUACAAGAACUUAGAGGGAAGGUUGGAGACAUCUUUUCUCACUGGGGAGUGCUGAAUGGAAUUACUGUGGAGUACUGCUUCACCAGUACUCAGGAGAGUGAUGUUCACUACAACUGCUUGAGAGAUGCUGCUUCUGCUUGAGAGGACACCAAGCUGAUGGAGUAUAUUAAAGAAAUAAGAAAAAGAGGGAGAGAGAGAGUGAAAACAGGACUUGGAUGAUAUUUUUCAGUGUCUGCCAAUAUCUAACAUGCUUUUGGAAAAGUUGCGUAACACAACCUACCAAGAGAGCCCUGUCUGCAUAGAGGAUGUGGUGUGUUCAAAGAUGCAGCAUCUACUGGGAUGCUGUUACGAGGCCGUGUUGUUGGGAGAGAGCCAAAACAAAUGUGCCCUUGACCAUGAUGAACUGAGAGCAGCUCCCGUGGUGUCCAGGCACUGCCCAAGCAUCCUGCUUGCUGAAGUGGUCCAAACCAAGGUGAGAAAUGACUUCAUGGGGAGACUGACCAGGGUCCAGUGUGUGGCUCCCACACUGGCCCUCUCUUACUGAGGAGUACAACCAACCCCUUGGUGCUGGGUUCUUGGACACUUGGACCCUAACCUCCUGAAAA